CAGGUCAACAGAGAUUUCUUCCCCUGCUGGAAACGUAGAAUCAGCAAAAGAUUUUAUGAAAACCACCAUGGAUGGUUGGAUCCCACAUGCCAAUGGUGUCCUGAGUAAGAAUCAAUUUCCCCUCCCGAGUCUGUUGGGGUUGAUGUACAGCGAGGGCGAAACCACACUCGGUUUUGGAGAGAACGUGCUGCUCUUCCACGUGAAGAUAGAAGCUUUCGAUGAAAAUGAGAUGGCGGAGCGAAUAAGACGUUACAGGGAGGCGCCCAAGAACAUGUAAAAAGGGAAGGUGUGGAGGUCUCCCAGGUCAACACAUUCCCCUUUUUGCUCAUUCAGAUGUUGAAUCUAUUCCUUGGAACAAAAUUGACCAAAUUCACACACCAACCGAGAAGAUAAAGGCAGCCUUGUUCAAAGGCCUCUUCAUAAUUCACAUUUUUUUUGGUAAACCAUUUUAAGGUGUGGUUAAUUGGGAAGAAGAACACAAAUUUAUGCAAUCGAUGAAUAUCUUUAUUGAAAUUUGGUGCUUCCAGGAACACGGAUGGUUGAGGGAAUCUCUUUCCUUCCCUGCCCG